rnacentral:rRNA from 1 species
AGAAUCAACGCUGGCGGCGUGCCUAACACAUGCAAGUCGAACGAGAAAGUGGAGCAAUCCAUGAGUAAAGUGGCGCACGGGUGAGUAACACGUGACUAACCUACCCUUGAGUGGGGGAUAACCUAGGGAAACCUGGGCUAAUACCGCAUAAUACCUUCGGGUCAAAGGAGCAAUUCGCUUAAGGAGGGGGUCGCGGCCGAUUAGUUAGUUGGCGGGGCAAUGGCCCACCAAGACUGUGAUCGGUAU